AUGGGGUAUUCACUCUUCACCUGGAGCUCGGGGUGGGGGAGGAACGAGGAGGAUGGGCACCUGCUUCACCUGCUGCUCAUCAUCAUGGUUUCCCUGGGUUCAGUGCUGCUGUGGAGAACAGGACGAGACCAGUCUGCGGAUGCUUUGUGGCUACCCUGUGGCUCUAUGGAGCCUGGUGAUGCAGGAUCUCAUGGCCAACCUUCCUCUGCUAUGGUGACAGUGUCCAGCCCUGUCCCAGCCAGACAAAAGAAGCCAGAAGACAGCACUGGAGCUGGAGUCAGAGGCAGCUUUGAACUGCCAUGCAGCUUCUGGGAACUAAACCAGGAUCCUCUGCAAGGGCAGACCGUGCUCUCUUAGCCACUGAGCCAAGUAGGCUAGGCCGGCUGGCCAGGGAGUCCCAGGAAUCCACCUUGUCCAUCUCCCCAAAGCUGAGUUAUAAACAUGCAUCAACCACCA